GGAAAGUCUCAAUCUGCGGGCUGAGGCUGAGCAAGAAAACGAAGCACCUAUGGCUUAUGCAACUUCUACGCUCGUGCCAGCGAUUUGUCCACACUUUCCUUAUCUUUUUUUUUUUUAUUAUUAUUGUUGUUUUGUAUCGAUUUUCAUUAUCAUAUUCUUCGCCCAUCUCUAAAGUCCACGCUCUUCGCACAGCACACGCACUAGCUCUCGCAAAACCACCUGUAAAUCUAGUAUCUCCAUCGCUUGAUCCAAGAAAUCCUAUUUUCAGAAGAAAAAGGGGAAAUCUUUUACUUUGCAAUGUAAUAAAAAUUGCCAAUCAGUGUUUCAGGGUUUUUAGUGUGUAUUUUCUGAAAUUAAUUGGAAUUUCCUUUAAUUUGAUUAUGUGACUGGAUCGAGUGGCUGCAAGAGUGAGAUUGUUCCAUUGGGAGACAGAUAGUGUUGAGUUGAGUUAGAGUUCUUUUAUCGAAAUUGACAUCUAUUAUUGACCAUGGACAAUCGCAGCGAUACAGAAACUAGUCCUUUUUGGAGUUUGUUUGCGGCCUUGUCAUAUGGGAUUGCUUCGAUGGCUAUGGUCUUUAUCAAUAAGGCAAUUCUCAUGCAGUAUUCUCACUCAAUGACCCUUCUCACUCUGCAGCAAUUGGCGACUGCUUUGCUAAUACACUUUGGCCGGCAAAUGGGAUACACAAAAGCCAGAGCAUUAGACAUGCAAACAUCAAAAAGGCUUCUUCCAGUGUCACUAUUUUACAAUGCUAAUGUGGCAUUUGCUUUGGCAAGCUUGAAAGGAGUUAACAUUCCUAUGUAUAUUGCAAUUAAGAGGCUUACACCACUGGCUGUACUUAUUGCUGGCUUCUCUUCAGGAAAGGGAAAACCUACAGCGCAGGUUUGUGGUACCCUUUUUGGAAUUAGUUCAUAAUUACACUGUUGUAGUCUGUUUAUACUAAUAGAACUCUGCUCUACUGUUGUUGUAUCAUAUGUUUUUGAUGCUAUGAAUUUGAUUUCAACGGAAUUUAAAUAUUUUAAUGGGUAUUGUUUUAAUUAAAUUGGUCGAUAAUUCAAUUUUUUCAUUCAUUUGCUUUUUGACGAUUCGCAUUGAGUUUGGCCCGUGCCACUUAUUCUUGUUCUCUAUAACAUCGGUACUACCUGGACCCUAAAACUACAUAACCGAUAAAAGUGUGAAAGGGUUGAAUGAACAGAAUUCUGUUGGUAAAGUGCAAAUUUGAUAUUGUAUCAUGCUUGGUCCUGUAAUCAUUCCAUUAAAUCCUUGAAGAAGCAUGUUCUUCAAUGUUGAUCUUAAAUAUGUUGUAUUGCUUUAAACUAUGAUAUGUCUCUGUUCUAUUUCAGGUGGCACUUUCUGUACUAUUGACUGCUGCUGGGGUUCUUAUAGCAGCAUUUGGAGAUUUUUCCUUUGACCUAUUUGGAUACAGCUUGGCCCUUACUUCUGUUUUUUUCCAGACGAUGUACCUUGUCCUUGUUGAGAGGUCUGGUGCAGAGGAUGGGCUUUCUUCAGAUGAGAUAAUGUUCUAUAACAGCUUUUUGUCUCUUCCAUUUUUAAUGUUUCUGAUCAUAGCUACAGGAGAAUUUCCAAACUCUUUGUCGUUGCUAUUUGCAAAGGUUAGAAUCUCAAACCCUUAUUCUUUAGAUUUGAAUUGUUUUUUAUUGCAUUAUAAGUUACGGUAACUCUGCUUACAUUAUGAAGUCCAUGCACUGAAUGCUAGACUUCUCAAAAGAUUCUUGUGCACUAGCGUAGGCAACAGCCUAUAAAAAUCCAGCUGAAUUUUUUUUUUUUUUAUUUAUAUUCUAAACCUUUGCUGUGAGGUACAAUUCAAAAGUAUCUGGAUAGGAACUUGACAUUAUUUAAGUUGAAGUAGGAAAUUUCAGAUGCUUGAAAAGUCUUUAUUUUCCAAUUUAACAUCUAUCUUAUUCUAGUAUUAGCCAUAUGACCUUGUUAACCAACAUGAAUCAUUUAAGAUUUAUAUUGUGCUGAUUAAUAGUUGAUUUUUUUAUUAGCUUGUAUCCCAUAUAGAAGGUACUUCGUAAUUGUCAGGUCAAAUCAGAUUGGUGCUGAUGUAGUUACUUGAAUCAUUUAGUUUUUGUUUAUUUUUGGGGAUGUGGGUUGACGCGAUAAUGCUAUUCCUUGCUGAGGAUGGUGUAAUACUUGGAGAUUUUCUAAUAGUGUGGAAAAUGUGCUGUGGUAAUUUUACUGUUGAUGGGAUGCUUCACUUUUGUGGUUUGGUUGUUAUAUCUAGCACACAUAUUCAACUUUAAAAAUAAAAUCAAAUGCAGAAGAAAAUUAACAGAAUAAAUGGAAAUGUGAUGGUAUCAGUUUUAUCACUAGCUUUUUCAUUAGGGGGAAAAACUCUAGCUUUUUAUCAUAGCUUCAAGGUGCUGUUCUCUGGUAUGUUCAUGAAAUUGAGGUCUUUAUAUGUUUGUCCUCUGGUUGAAGUCUCAAGUAUUAUUUGUAUGGUACUUGGCACCUGUCUUCUUGAGUAUUUGCAUAGCCUGCUUUUGAUUUGAUAGUCUCAGUAAAUGCAUUUUAAAGUGCCAUUUCUUUCUUGUUAGGAUUUAGUAAUAUAUAGAACUGAUAUCUAACUGGCAAACUGUUCGAAAUUGCAGAGCAAUUCUUUAUCAUUUUUGUUGAUUCUUAUUCUUUCAUUGGUGAUGGGAAUAGUUCUCAAUUACACCAUGUUCUUGUGUACUAUAGUCAAUUCUGCUCUAACAACAACCAUAGUGGGAGUCCUCAAAGGUGUUGGGUCCACGACCCUUGGUUUUGUGUUACUGGGUGGUGUACAAGUACAUGCUUUGAAUGUGACUGGAUUGGUCAUCAACACAGCUGGUGGAUUGUGGUAUUCAUAUGCCAAAUAUCAGCAAAAGAAAAGCAAGCCACCAAGAUUAACCUCAGAUGUCGAGGCUCAUCGUAAAUGAAUUCGUGUUGGGGGGUUGCUAGCUGUGAUGAACUCAUCUUCAUGUUGUUUUCUGUUAUAACUAGUUGAUUCUGCUAUUUUGUAUCAUUUACUAUGAUGAUAGUAGCAAUCAAAAAGAGGGGGAAAUUGAAUGAAGCGAUAAGCAAAUUGUUGUCAUUUUCUUUUCUUCAUAUAACUACGGCUCUAUAGGUUUUUUCAGUAAAUUUUGAAUGAGUAGAACAUAUUUGAAUUGUAGUUUCAUGAACUUGGAGACAAUGAAUGGUGGUAACUUAAUGUAUGAAAGUUUGAUCA
rnacentral:misc_RNA from 1 species